rnacentral:rRNA from 1 species
CCUACGGGUGGCAGCAGUGAGGGAUAUUGGUCAAUGGACGAGAGUCUGAACCAGCCAAGUAGCGUGAAGGAUGACUGCCCUAUGGGUUGUAAACUUCUUUUAUAUGGGAAUAAAAUGUUCCAUGUUGGGGAUUUUGUAUGUACCAUAUGAAUAAGGAUCGGCUAACUCCUUGCCAGCAGCCGCGGUAAUACGGAGGGUCCGAGCGUUAUCCGGAUUUAUUGGGUUUAAAGGGAGCGUAGGUGGAUUGUUAAGUCAGGUGUGAAAGUUUGCGGCUCAACCGUAAAAUUGCAGUUGAAACUGGCAGUCUUGAGUACAGGAGAGGUGGGCGGAAUUCGGGGUGUAGCGGUGAAAUGCUUAGAUAUCACGAAGAACGCCGAUUGCGAAGGCAGCCCACUGGACUGCAACUGACACUGAGGCUCGAAAGUGUGGGGAGCAAACAGGAUUAGAUACCCCUGUAGUC